rnacentral:misc_RNA from 1 species
UUUCCGUAGGUGAACCUGCGGAAGGAUCAUUAGUGAAUUGCUCUCUGAGCGUUAACUACAUCCAUCUACACCUGUGAACUGUUGAUUGACUUCGGUCAAUUGAUUUUACAAACAUUGUGUAAUGAACGUCAUGUUAUUAUAACAAAAAUAACUUUCAACAACGGAUCUCUUGGCUCUC